AUUGAACGCUGGCGGCAGGCCUAACACAUGCAAGUCGGACGAGGGGCGGACGGGUGAGUAAUGUCUGGGGAACUGCCUGCUGGAGGGGGAUAACUACUGGAAACGGUAGCUAAUACCGCAUACCAUCAGAUGAACCCAUAUGGGAUUAGCUAUGAGGUUAGGUAACGGCUGACCUAGGCGACGAUCCAUAGCGGUUCUGAGAGGAUGAUCAGCCAUACUGGGACUGAGACACGGCCCAGACGCCUACGGGAGGCAGCAGUGGGGAAUAUUGCACAAUGGGCGCAAGCCUGAUGCAGCCAUGCCGCGUGUGUGACGAAGGCCUUCGGGUUGUAAAUCACUUUCAGCGAGGAGGCGGUACUCGCAGAAGAAGCACCGGCUAACUCCGUGCCAGCCGCCGCGGUAAUUC
rnacentral:rRNA from 1 species